rnacentral:rRNA from 1 species
UAAAAUAAUUAAGGGCACACAAAGGAUGCCUAGGUAGUAAGAGCCGAUGAAGGACGUGGUAAGCUGCGAUAAGCCUAGAUAAGUUGCAAUCGAACGUAAGAGUCUAGGAUUUCCGAAUGGAGCAAUCUAUUAAGAUGGAGUCUUAAUACGAAAGAGGGAACCGCGUGAACUGAAACAUCUAAGUAACGCGAGGAAAAGAAAGUAAAAACGAUACCCAAAGUAGCGGCGAGCGAACUGGGUCAAGCCUAAACCUUAAAUAUGUCAAGGAUACAGCCGUUGUAUUUAAGGGGUUGUGGGACUAAGUUGUGAAGAACUGUAAGAUAUUCAAUAUAGUGUAUUGAUGAAUUAGAAUUGUAUGGAAAGAUAAACCGUAGAAGGUGAGAGUCCUGUAUAAGUAAAUCCUUACACAUAUAACUUGGCUCCCAAGUAGCAUGGAACACGAGGAAUUCUGUGUGAAUCAGUGAGGACCAUAUCUCAUAAGGCUAAAUACUCUUACUAACCGAUAGCGCAUAGUACCGUGAGGGAAAGGUGAAAAGAACCCCUGGAGGGGAGUGAAAUAGAACCUGAAAUUGUGUGCUUACAAGCGGUCAAAGCCCAUUUGGGUGAUGGCGUGCCUUUUGGAGAAUGAUCCUGCGAGUUACGUUAAACGGCGAGGUUAAGUAUAACGGAGCCGAAGGGAAACCAAGUCUUAAUAGGGCGAUAUAGUCGUUUGGCGUAGACGCGAAACCUGGUGAUCUAAACCUGUCCAGGAUGAAGCUGUGGUAAGACACAGUGGAGGUCCUAACCCACCGCCGUUGAAAAGUUGGGGGAUGAGGUAGGUUUAGGGGUGAAAAGCCAAUCGAACCAGGAGAUAGCUCGUUCUCUCCGAAAUGCAUCUAGGUGCAGCCUUGAGUGUUCAAUUAUGGGGGUAGAGCACUGAAUGAUCUAGGGGGCAUAUUGCUUACUGAAAUCAAUCAAACUCCAAAUACCAUAAUUUAUAGCUCAGGAGUGAGACCAUGGGAGUUAACUUCCAUUGUCAAAAGGGAAACAACCCAGACCACCAGCUAAGGUCCCUAAUUAUAACUAAGUGGGAAAGGAGGUGGAGAUUCACAAACAACUAGGAGGUUGGCUUAGAAGCAGCCAUACCUUUAAAGAGUGCGUAAUAGCUCACUAGUCGAGAGUCUCUGCGCCGACAAUGUAACGGGGCUAAGUUAUAAACCGAAGCUGUGGAAUCCUUAUGGAUUGGUAGGAGAGCGUUCUGUAGGCCGUUGAAGAAGAAGGGUAACCAACUUUGGAGGUAUCAGAAGUGAGAAUGCAGGAAUAAGUAGCGAGAAAGGGGGCGAGAAUCCCCCUCGCCGGAAGACCAAGGUUUUCAGGGUAAAGCUUGUCUUCCCUGAGUAAGCCGGGACCUAAGCCCAGGCUAUAAUGCGUAGGCGAAUGGAAAACAGAUUAAUAUUUCUGUGCCAGUCAUUUAUUGUGAUGGAGGGACGCAGAAGGGUAUGUGCGCGGACGAUCGGUUGUGUCCGUAGAAGUAUGUAGGGUGACUUAGUAGGAAAAUCCAUUAAGUUAUAUCUGAGGUAUGAUAUACAGUCGUAAGAUGAAUGUGCAAAUCCCACGCUGCCAAGAAAAACUUCUAGCGUUAAUAUAUGACUGCCCGUACUGUAAACCGACACAGGUGGUCAGGAUGAGAAAUCUAAGGCGGACAGGCUAACUCUCGUUAAGGAACUCUGCAAAAUAACCUCGUAACUUCGGGAGAAGAGGAGCCCUUGUGUGUGAGUAUACAUGCGAUACAAAGCACACGAGGGUCGCAGUGAAGAGGCUCAAGCAACUGUUUAACAAAAACACAGGUCUAUGCUAAGCUGUAAGGCGAUGUAUAUGGGCUGACACCUGCCCAGUGCUGGAAGGUUAAGAGGAGGAGUGAGAGCUCCGAAUUGAAGCCCCAGUGAACGGCGGCCGUAACUAUAACGGUCCUAAGGUAGCGAAAUUCCUUGUCGGGUAA